rnacentral:rRNA from 1 species
AUGGGUACGUCAGGCACGGCGGGCAUGUCUUCUACGACCUCGUCGGUGGCCGCCAAUGUUGAUGGCAUCAGGAUAGUUCAGUUUCAAUCGGAGUUCUACAUCCCCGAUCUGACAUUCUGUGGCCUUGAGGUUCGGUCGUCGCGACGCUGCCCUGGGCACGGGCUAAUUCCUGCUCGUCGCGUCGCGUGGGGAGGAGCAAGUUCCGGCAGAAGGUUUCUCGGCUGCCCUCUUGAUCUUCCUGAUGAAUGUGACUGGGUUGUCUGGAUUGACCCGCCAUCGACCGAACGUGUUGGUCGUGCAUUUGAGGAGCUUCAUGCAGGAUUGGAGAAGAGCUGA